rnacentral:misc_RNA from 1 species
CCGAGACAUACACACACGGUAGCAUCUUAUCUGUGACUCCACCGCAUACGGUCCUUCCGCGACAGCUGCACGCGGACAAAGCAUGGGCUUCGGCGCUCUUCCGACCCGCACACCACGCCGUGUCGUGGUGACCGGUAUUGGCAUGGUCACGCCCCUCGGCGUCACCGCGGUGGACACGUGGGCUGCUGUGUGCCGUGGUCAAUCCGGCUGUCGGCCGCUGAUUGAGGCUCCGUACUUUUUGCCCGGUUUCCUCGAAAACGACAAGAUGCUGUCUCCGCAGCAGAAGGCAGCGGCGCUGGAGAAGCUUAUCGCCGCCUUGCCGUGCAAGGUGGCUGCUUUCGUUCAGCCGCCAGCCGAGGUCGGGUUGGCGGCUGGCAAGGUGGACAAAGCAGUGCCUGCGGCCGAUCCGUUCGCGCCCACCGCCCACGAACCGCGGGCGCUUCGCUUAUGCGCGCGUGCGGUCGAGGAAGCGCUCGCCGACGCUGCGCUCCAACUCUCCGAGGCCGUGCAGGAUCGCUGCGGUGUCAACAUCGGCAUGGGCAUCCCCUCUCUUGCCGACGUGACGGACGUCUCCGCCUACCUGACGGGCGACGCCAUUGCCACCGAUGCGGGUCAUGUGCACUACAGCAAGGUCCCUCCAAUGUUUUUGCCGAAAAUCUUGGGCAACAUGGCAGCCGGCAACACGGCCAUCCGCCACAAACUGCGCGGUCCCAUCGGCAGCAGCGUGGCGGCGUGUGCAACAGGGGCGCACUGCAUUGGUGAGGCGGCCUUGUGGAUCCGUGAAGGCCGCGCGGACGUUAUGGUGUGUGGCGCAGCGGAGGCCUGCAUCACGCCGGUUUCCGUGGCCGGUUUUACAAGGAUGCGGGCACUGUGCACGCGGUUCAAUGACACCCCAUCGUCUGCCUCGCGGCCGUUCGACAUUACUCGCGCCGGCUUUGUGAUGGGAGAAGGCGCAGGUGUGUUGAUCCUCGAAGCGCUCGAGCACGCCGUGGCGCGGGCGGCGCCGCGCGUGUACGCCGAGCUGCGCGGCUUUGGCAUAUCGUGCGAUGCACACCAUGUGGCGGUGCCGCACCCCGAAGGGCUUGGUGCCCGCCGCUGCGUGGAGCAAGCCUUGGCGGAGGGAGGGGAUGUCCCUGCCUCGGCCGUCGGCUACGUUAACGCGCACGCGACGGGCACCAUCGGUGAUGAGGUGGAGCUGAUGGCGAUCCAGCAAGCAUUGCGACCUUCGACGGCACCAUCCUCUCCGGCGCUGCACGUGAGCAGCGCCAAAGGAGGGCUGGGUCACCUACUCGGUGCUGCUGGCAGCGUCGAGGCCGCGCUGACGGUCUUGGCGUUGCACGAGCAGCGCGCGCCGCCGACGGCGAACUUGACGACGUCGUGUCUCACGAGAGAGCAGCAGGAGUGCGGCUUGGUGUGUAUCCAAGGCAGCACCGCGCAGCCAAUGCAGAGAUGCGAGGCGGUAAUAUCGACAAGCUUUGGCUUCGGCGGAAUCAACACGGCCUUGCUCUUCACGCGCAUGUAGCUCCGGGAGAGACAGAUAGGCACACUGAGGGCGAGGAAGGGAAGAGGAGAUGCGCAGCUGACGCGCAUGCGCGGACUGCUCGUGCCGUAUGGUACAGUCAGUGCACCCUCGCCUCUGCCCUUUCCUUUUGUGCUGCCUUCUUCAGUGCGCCGCGCUGUGUCGCUGUGUGGUUCGCUCACCGCCUUCCCCACUUUUCUUCGCAGAGGUAACCAAGAGCGCAUGGGCCGUUGAAAAACACCAUUCUUGCAUCGAAGCGGCUUCUCAUCGUCCCCGUCUUCCUCACUCGAUCCCGCCUCGGAUCGGCAGCAGCACAGGCUGCCCAACAGUCGCGCGCCAUGCGCUAGGAACGUUUGGGCGUGCGUGCAGGUGUGUGGAUGAGUUUGCGCGCACAUGUGCGGCAGUGAACUGCAGCCAUCGACUCUAGCCCUUACACGUACACAUCUGCACGCAUGCGCGCACGCAAGCGAAUGAGUAAGCCGGGGCAGCGGCACAGGGCGGCACAGCCCGAGUUUUCCCCGCCAGCCGCGGGGGGGGGAGAGACUGAAAGACACGGAUUGUUGCUGCUCGCGUAGAUGCCUCUGGUCGCGCGCAUUUUUUUCUCUGGCCGAUCUUGGAGCGCUUUUGCCGCUCUUCUCACCUCGCAUCUCUUCGGCAAUGAAACCCUUUGAAGUCCCUAAUUGGAAUCCGUGGGUAUGGGCGUGUGUGUGUGUGUCUGUGUAUGCUUCGGUGCCUGCUGUUGUGCGGAUUGGCAGCCCCUGCUGCUUCUGGAAGCGGUGAGGAGAAGCGGAAUUUCGCCGCUGCGUCCUCUUCAUCUUUUCCGUUUACUCUGAAUCUCCACAUCCGUGCCCGCACUGCAUCCUGUUAGACUUCACAGCCUAUCAUUACUCGGCAGAGCGAGAGGGAUGGGCGAAACAGGCGCGUCGAGCUGCACACCGAUCUGCCCCACAGCGCAUGUGUGCGAAGCAUGCGGCAUAUCCCCACCAUCCGACCGAGUGGGCGGAGGAGGCACAGGCGCCGAGGGCAUGGCGAGCGCGCCCCGAACGGCACCACCGAGUCAUCCUGUGUCCACCGUGGAGAGGCACGACAUCUUUCUAUGGGAUGCGGCGGCAUGACGCGGCUGAGAGAUACGCAGGGCACGCAGGCAGGAGGGGCUGCGGCGCAGGGUCUCCGGGGGCCCUGGCCUGCGGCUGGUCGGCCCCCUCCCUGAGCUUAUCCGGCAUGCACCUGGGCCACCCCCUGCUACCCGCACGACAGACGCCACGACCUCCACCCCCCCCCUCCCCCUCCUUCAGCAGGACCCUGGCCGCGGCCCCGCCUGCGCCAAGGCGUGCGGUGCAGCCAUGUCCGUGUAGGCGCGCCUACCGCGCAGCACGUACCCCGGGAAUAGGCGAUGAAGGACAGGGAGCGCCCGGCAGGCGCAUGACCUGAUUCGACGGCGGACGGCGCGCCCCCUAGAGAACCAGGACGUCGCCGCUAAUGCGGCACAGGCAGGCGAGCUGUGGUUGUGUAGGCAUCUCUGUGUUGACGUGUUCCGGCUAGAAAGCCAGGCUGCAAAGAAAAAGAAACGAAAGCGUCGCAUCGCCUUCUCGUCCCGUGUUACUCUCUGUCCCUCUUGUGCUGGGAAAGGUAAAGAGAGUGCGUGCGCCUGAGAAACGCGCGCACACAUGUAAAAAGCAUGGCUCCGUCGCUUGCUCUUGUGCGCUGCUUGUUUGCAGUGGUGUGC